UUGCACUGAACUACUGCUGCCAGAUUAAUGGCUUCUCUUCUCUCAAUCUUACCAAACUAGAUGUCUUGUCUGAUCUUCCUGAGAUUCAGUUAGGUGUUGCUUAUAAGCAGAUUGAUGGUACACCUGUCAAAUCUUUUCCUUCUGAUCUUCGUCUUCUUGAACAAUUGAAAGUUGAAUACGAAGUAUUACCAGGCUGGAAGUGUGAUAUUUCUUCCGUCAGAAAUUACGAAGAUCUUCCAAAGGCCGCCAGGCAGUAUGUAGAGAGGAUUGAAGAACUUGUUGGCAUACCCGUCCAUUAUAUUGGUGUCGGCCCCGGCCGCGAUGCCCUUAUUUUCAAGUAACUUCUUGGAGCUGAUUUUGUUGUACUUCAUUUGAAUCCUACAUUUAUGGAUUUGAAUUAACCUUCCUGAUUAGAUUCCAAUAUUCACAUUGGUUCUGAGAUAUAUGGAAUCAAUGAUUCCGAAAUUAGAGAUGGAGCUUGGUUCCCCAAAUAGGAGGAUACCCUUUUCUUGUAAGAUAAAAAUAAGUUCAAUAUGGUAGAUGAAAUUUUCAGGAAGAACUUUUAAUGGUGAUUCUCAGUUUUUAAUUUGAAUCCAAUGAUUUCUUUAAA